rnacentral:rRNA from 1 species
AGUGAACGCUGGCGGUAGGCCUAACACAUACAAGUCGAACGGCAGCACAGUAAGAGCUUGCUCUUACGGGUGGCGAGUGGCGGACGGGUGAGGAAUACAUCGGAAUCUACUUUUUCGUGGGGGAUAACGUAGGGAAACUUACGCUAAUACCGCAUACGACCUACGGGUGAAAGCAGGGGAUCUUCGGACCUUGCGCGAUUGAAUGAGCCGAUGUCGGAUUAGUUAGUUGGCGGGGUAAAGGCCCACCAAGGCGACGAUCCGUAGCUGGUCUGAGAGGAUGAUCAGCCACACUGGAACUGAGACACGGUCCAGACUCCUACGGGAGGCAGCAGUGGGGAAUAUUGGACAAUGGGCGCAAGCCUGAUCCAGCCAUACCGCGUGGGUGAAGAAGGCCUUCGGGUUGUAAAGCCCUUUUGUUGGGAAAGAAAAGCAGCAGGUUAAUACCCCGCUGUUCUGACGGUACCCAAAGAAUAAGCACCGGCUAACUUCGUG